GAGGGUGUAGCUCAGUGGUAGAGUGUGUGCUUAGUAUGUACAAGGGCCUGGGUUCAAUCCCCAGUACCUCUA
rnacentral:tRNA from 1 species